rnacentral:rRNA from 1 species
GUGGUGGGAAACCAGGACCUUUACCUUGAAAAAAUUAGAGUGUUCAAAGCAGGCUUAUGUCUGAAUACAUUAGCAUGGAAUAAUAAAAUAGGACGGUGGUCCUGUUUUGUUGGUUUCUGAAUCACCGUAAUGAUUAAUAGGGAUAGUUGGGGGCAUUAGUAUUCAAUUGUCAGAGGUGAAAUUCUUGGAUUUAUUGAAGACUAACUUCUGCGAAAGCAUUUGCCAAGGAUGUUUUCAUUAAUCAAGAACGAAAGUUAGGGGAUCGAAGACGAUCAGAUACCGUCGUAGUCUUAACCAUAAACUAUGCCGACUAGGGAUCGGACGAUGUUAAUUUUUCUUGACUCGUUCGGCGCCUUACG